rnacentral:siRNA from 1 species
UUUAAAAAGGGUUACUUAGAU